GGCCUGUGCUGGUCACCCAUAGAGGUGGUACCCAGUGGCCUCAACUCCAUCUAGGUCUACUAGUGAUUACAAGUUGGCUGCUUGUCAAGCUCCCUCUGAGGGCUCUGCUGCCAGCAACAGCCAUGAAUCCUCUUGGCCCCUCCUGGGUGCCCCUGCUGAGUUUAACAGGAAGGUGACAGUUCUGGCAAUACCUGCGAUGGUGCCAGGGCCAACCUAGGGACUCACGGCCCUUCUCAGAAGAUAUUUCUUGGGUGGCUUGGACACAACAAAUAUUCAGCCAAGAAAGAGGCCUGAUUGAUGGUUGGUGGAAGUGCAGAUAUUGGACCUUCAGAUGAGUGUCAGGAGAUCUGGAUUCUGACUCUUCUUCUGCCUUCCUCUGUGGUGUAACCCUGGGAAAGUCACUCAAUGUCUCUGAGCCUCGUGUUCCCCAUAAGUAACACGAAAGUGUUUUACUACUGGAGAGUUUCCAAAUUCUCAGCUCAAUACUUCUGUGAUGCAGUCAGAGAAUGAAGUCUUUUUUUUUUUUUUUUUUUUUUUUUUUUCGUAGUGUCUGGGUGAUUGGAGGGGGGUAGCCUUCUCUUUGAGAAGGUAAAAUGGCAGCCAGGGAGCCAAGCCAGCAGAGAGCAGGAGGGCUCAGAUUACCCCCAUAUGGAAAAGGACUGACUUCAAUAGAACAAGCCUUCGAGGCCGUGGGAAGGGGUCUCUGUCAUAGGCCUUCACUUUCUCCAACAGAUGAGAAAAUUGAGUCCCAGAGAUGCCAAGUAGCAUGCCCAAAGCCACAUGGCUAGUAAGUAGCAGAUCCAGAAUAAUUCCUGUGUGAGAGCUUUUAACCCAACCCAGAGCAACCACUCAUAACUUGCCAUUGUAAGUAUAGCCUCUGGGUUCUCCUUCCUUCUAGGAUCAUGUUCAUCUUAAUACAUACAAGAAAACCAUUCUCUCUCUCUCUCUCCCCCAAGGUGUUAGAAAUCUUUUGCCCUUUGCUUCCCUGUCUGCUAGGCUCCCUCCUGGGACAGAUGGUUUGUCUGAUGGGUGAGCUGGUG
rnacentral:lncRNA from 1 species